AUGAAUCACGAAGAUGGCACUGAUCCUUGGCUUUCUCAAAGGCCGGAAACGCCACCUUGGGAUGCAGCAGAGUACAAUCAACUCAUUUCUUCAGGGCCAUUGCUGCCACUACUAGAGCACUACGCGGGCAUCGGUUCUUAUGACCAAACCACAAUCAGGGGGGCAGCAUGGCAAGUUUCGUCACAGGGCGCUAACGCUGGCAAAUGUACGGGCAACCAACUUCAGCUAGCUAAUGUGGCAAAUCAAGGACCUUCAUGCAACACGUGGCAUCAGGCAGCAACCAUGUACCUGCCAUCAACGCCGUACACAGGUUGUUAUGGUGGAACCACAUCGGCAAACAUCUCAUGGCAAGCUUCACAGUUGCAGGAAAGCGCUAUUGCAGAUAGAGCACAUCAAAUUGGAAUGACAGACCACACAAGAUCAGCACAUGCGGCACAACAAGGACCUUCAACUACAAUUAACAGCGGCGCGGCGACAUCUACUGCGGGGAGAUCUGAGCGCACGGAAGACGCGUUCCACCAGCCAGCCAACACUCAUGCCACAAACAAUGCCGAGUUAGUGUCGGAAAUGGCAAUCGUACCAGCAAUACCGACAAGCACACCUGUGCACACCAGCACAAGCAACACUCAAGCAGGGGAUGAAGAUGGUGGGCAAUCAGAAAUCAUGGUACCCCAGCCACCGUAUCUUGGGCAAAGAUUUGAUUCGUUUGAAGAUGCAAAGAAAUUCUACCAGACAUAUGCAAAGUUCCAUGGGUUUGCGGUCAACACCGAAUACCAUAGGAAAAUUAAAAAAACUAACGAGUACAGCAGAGGUGAGAUGAGGUGCUACAAGGCACGAAGAAACAAGAAGGGCAAAGGUGAUGCGCCUGUCGUUCCGGAACGAAAGAGAGGUAUCAUUGUCAAGACGGGAUGCCCUGUCCGGUGUAAGCUGAACGUAGAUGGCGCACAGUGGGUGGUCACUGAAUAUUUUGACGAGCACAACCACGAGCUAAUAAAGAAGUUUGACCUGGUAAAAUUUCUGACCGCCCACAGAGGAUUCACCCCCCUCGAGAAGAAAUUCAUAAAGCUGCUACAUGAUUUUAACGUCGGUCCAUCAAGAAUGGUGCAGAUACUCUCCCUCAUCCACAGCAAAAAGGGGUCUCUGAGUAGCAUGCCCUACCUACCAGCAGACGUCACAAACCUAAAGGCAAAAUUCCAGGAAGAAAUAAAGCGUGCCAGCAUGUACACGGCUUUCCAGGUGGACGAACAUACGUUCAGGGUGUGUUCUAUCAUGGGCAUGUCGGAUUCAGAACCUGAAGACCCAGACAAGGGAAGGAACUACUUUGUGAAGGCAUCGAUAAGCGAAGGCGAAUACUACUGCCAAUGCUGCAAAUUCGAACGAGACGGGAUUGUGUGCUGUCACAUUCUAAAAGUAAUGGACUUGAAUGCGGUGACACGAAUGCCCCGCCAUUUCAUAAGGCGGCGAUGGACUUGGGACGCUGACGACGCAUUGGCGCCGCAAACAUCAAACACAGUUUUGGCCGUGCAUGACGAGAGACCAGAGUCAACCAUGGAAGCCGUGAGGCACGUUGUGUUGACAAAGAACUAUGCUGAACUAAUUGAUGAAGCGUGCAAGAGUGAUGAGACAGCAAGGGUCGCAGAAAAACACAGGAAGGCCCUCAAAAGAGAGCUUGAUGAGAUCAAGAAGAGGAAAGCUGAGGAAGCCUUACAGAGGUUCCCCCGCACAUCAAGUGUGCCUUCGUCCACAGGGCCAUCAUCUGAAAACUCGGAGGUAGGAUCUGGAACGGCAAGCACACAAACACAUGUUAGGAACUCGCCCCGUUCCAUCACAAAAGGGCAUCCAAAAGAGAUAAGAUACAAAUCGGGAUUGGAGAUUCAAGCAAAACACAAGAAACCAAAGAAAGGGACGGGCAAUCCGUAA
rnacentral:rRNA from 1 species